rnacentral:rRNA from 1 species
AGCGAACGCUGGCGGCAGGCCUAACACAUGCAAGUCGAACGAAGUCUUCGGACUUAGUGGCGGACGGGUGAGUAACACGUGGGAACGUGUCUUUAGGUUCGGAAUAACUCAGGGAAACUUGUGCUAAUACCGAAUGUGCCCUUCGGGGGAAAGAUUUAUCGCCUUUAGAGCGGCCCGCGUCUGAUUAGCUAGUUGGUGAGGUAAAGGCUCACCAAGGCGACGAUCAGUAGCUGGUCUGAGAGGAUGAUCAGCCACAUUGGGACUGAGACACGGCCCAAACUCCUACGGGAGCAACCAGUGGGGAAUCUUGCGCAAUGGGCGAAAGCCGGACGCAGCCAGGCCGCGUGAAUGAUGAAGGUCUUAGGAUUGUAAAAUUCUUUAACCGGGGACGAUAAUGACGGUACCCGGAGAAGAAGCCCCGGCUACUUCGUGCCAGCCGCCGCCGUAAUAC